GACGAACGCUGGCGGCGUGCUUAACACAUGCAAGUCGAACGGAAAGGCCCUGCUUUUGUGGGGUGCUCGAGUGGCGAACGGGUGAGUAACACGUGAGUAACCUGCCCUUGACUUUGGGAUAACUUCAGGAAACUGGGGCUAAUACCGGAUAGGAGCUCCUGCUGCAUGUUGGGGGUUGGAAAGUUUCGGCGGUUGGGGAUGGACUCGCGGCUUAUCAGCUUGUUGGUGUGGUAGUGGCUUACCAAGGCUUUGACGGGUAGCCGGCCUGAGAGGGUUACCGGCCACAUUGGGACUGAGAUACGGACCAGACUCCUACGGGAGGCAGCAGUGGGGAAUAUUGCGCAAUGGGCGGAAGCCUGAUGCAGAAACGCCGCGUGCGGGAUGACGGCCUUCGGGUUGUAAACCGAUUUCGACUGUGACGAAGCGUGAGUGACGGUAAUGGGUAAAGAAGCACCGGCUAACUACGUG
rnacentral:rRNA from 1 species